rnacentral:rRNA from 1 species
AACGAACGCUGGCGGCAUGCCUAACACAUGCAAGUCGAACGAUCCCUUCGGGGAUAGUGGCGCACGGGUGCGUAACGCGUGGGAACCUGCCCUUAGGUUCGGAAUAACUCAGAGAAAUUUGAGCUAAUACCGGAUAAUGUCUUCGGACCAAAGAUUUAUCGCCUUUGGAUGGGCCCGCGUUGGAUUAGCUAGUUGGUGGGGUAAAGGCCUGCCAAGGCGACGAUCCAUAGCUGGUCUGAGAGGAUGAUCAGCCACACUGGGACUGAGACACGGCCCAGACUCCUACGGGAGGCAGCAGUGGGGAAUAUUGGACAAUGGGCGAAAGCCUGAUCCAGCAAUGCCGCGUGAGUGAUGAAGGCCUUAGGGUUGUAAAGCUCUUUUACCCGGGAUGAUAAUGACAGUACCGGGAGAAUAAGCCCCGGCUAACUCCGUG